UAGAUUUCUGCAGUUACACAGCUGUUCAAGGCUCAGGAUUCCUGCUAGGAAAAAACAAAGGAACAAUUCUGCUAUUUUAUUUCUCAACACCAAUCAAGCAGAAGAAGAAGAGCAACAAAAAAGCAAGAAGAUAGGCACAAGAAAAGCCCUCAAGCAAGCCACCAUCCAUGGAAACAGGGUGCACCAAAUUGUGUCUUAAAUUCAGGCUAACAACAAAGCAACAACUCCCUUACAUUCCUUCUCUGCCACACACCAAGGUGAAAACCAGCUCCACAAGGCGCUUGGCUUUUGAAAUAAGUGAUAAAAGGACAGAAAGCCAGAAGGGGUGCAGGAGCUACCCAGUGUACUGCCAGAGGAAAGAUGUGACAAUACAGAAGGGGAAAGGAAGAAGGAUUUUAUCUCCAAGAUGAAGAUCAAACUUUGAAUUCCAGGGAUAUCUAAAUAAUACUACCUUGCUUAUGAGCUCAGUUAUUAUGUGUUAACACUGUGGAUUAAAAAUAUAUAUAUCAAGUAGUCA